AUCGAACGCUGGCGGCAGGCUUAACACAUGCAAGUCGAGCGAGCGGCGGACUGGUGGGUAAUGUCUGGGACACUGCCUGAUGGAGGGGGAUAACUCCUGGAAACGGUAGCUAAUACCGCAUACUAUCAGCUGUGGCCAGAUGGGAUUAGCUAGUAGGUGGGGUAAUGGCUCACCUAGGCGACGAUCCCUAGCUGGUCUGAGAGGAUGACCGGCCAAACUGGAACUGAGAGACGGUCCAGACUCCGACGGGAGGCAGCAGUGGGGAAUAUUGCACAAUGGGCGCAAGCCUGAUGCAGCAAGGCCGCGUGUGUGAAGAAGGCCUUCGGGUUGUAAAGCACUUUCAGCGAGGAGGCGGGACUCGCAGAAGAAGCACCGGCUAACUACGUGCCAGCAGCCGCGGUAAUUC
rnacentral:rRNA from 1 species